AGGAAUUGGCGGGGGAGCACAACAACGGGUGGAGCCUGCGGUUUAAUUGGACUCAACGCCGGACAACUCACCGGGGACGACAGCAAUAUGUAGGCCAGGCUAAAGACCUUGCCUGAAUCGCUGAGAGGAGGUGCAUGGCCGUCGCCAGUUCGUACUGUGAAGCAUCCUGUUAAGUCAGGCAACGAGCGAGACCCGUGCCCACUGUUACCAGCAUGUCCUCCGGGACGAUGGGUACUCUGUGGGGACCGCCGAUGUUAAAUCGGAGGAAGGUGCGGGCUACGGUAGGUCAGUAUGCCCCGAAUUUCCCGGGCUACACGCGGGCUACAAUGAAUGGGACAAUGGGUCCCUACCCCGAGAGGGGUUGGUAAUCUCCCAAACCCAUCCGUAGUUCGGAUCGAGGGCUGUAACUCGCCCUCGUGAAGCUGGAAUCCGUAGUAAUCGCGUUUCAAUAUAGCGCGGUGAAUACGUCCCUGCUCCUUGCACACACCGCCCGUC
rnacentral:rRNA from 1 species